rnacentral:rRNA from 1 species
UACCAGCACCCCGAGUGGUCGGGACGAUUAUUGGGCCUAAAGCAUCCGUAGCCGGUUCUGCAAGUCCCCCGUUAAAUCCAGCUGCUCAACAGAUGGGCCGCGGAGGAUACUACAGAGCUAGGAGGCAGGAGAGGCAAGCGGUACUCAGUGGGUAGGGGUAAAAUCCGUUGAUCCAUUGAAGACCACCAGUGGCGAAGGCGGCUUGCCAGAAUGCGCUCGACGGUGAGGGAUGAAGCUGGGGGAGCAAACCGG